GACGGGUGCGUACACGUGAGGAACCUGACUAUCGGUGGGGGAUAGCCGGCCCAACGGCCGGGUAAUACCGCGUACGACCUUCGGGGGGCAUCUCCUGAAGGUGAAAGCAGCAAUGCGCCGAUGGAGGGCCUCGCGGCCUAUCAGCUAGUUGGUGAGGUAAUGGCUCACCAAGGCGACGACGGGUAGCUGGUCUGAGAGGAUGGCCAGCCACAUUGGGACUGAGACACGGCCCAGACUCCUACGGGAGGCAGCAGUGGGGAAUCUUGCGCAAUGGGCGAAAGCCUGACGCAGCGACGCCGCGUGUGGGAUGACGGCCUUCGGGUUGUAAACCACUGUCGGGAGGGACGAAGCUCUGACGGUACCUCCAAAGGAAGCACCGGCUAACUCUGUGUCAGCAGCCGCGGUAAUACAGAGGGUGCGAGCGUUGUCCGGAAUCACUGGGCGUAAAGGGCGCGUAGGCGGCCUGAUAAGUAGGGGGUGAAAUCCUGCGGCUUAACUGCAGGGCUGCCUCCUAGACUGUCGGGCUCGAGCACGGUAGAGGCAGAUGGAAUUCCCGGUGUAGCGGUGGAAUGCGUAGAGAUCGGGAAGAACAUCGGUGGCGAAGGCGGUCUGCUGGGCCGU
rnacentral:rRNA from 1 species